AAUGCGUGUUGAAAUUACCAAUCAAGAAGUGGAUCACAAACUUUUACUAUAUCAAAAAGAGAAAAUACACAAACGCUGAACCUUAAAGCUAGAGUUAACCGAUUGAUUUGAUUCCUGAAAAAUAAAAGUUACAAGUAUUUUUGAUGACACUUCCUCGUUGGAUUUAGCCGAGAAACAGCAUCAGUUCACGGAAAUAGAGAGAGAAUCCGGGCUUAAAAUUUCCCACCUGAUUUGCAACGUGUGCGCUAAAAUUCUGCCCACUUCGUAUCACUUACGUAGACACAUGAGGACGCAUACUGGAGAAAAACCAUUCAAAUGUUCGAAAUGUGACUAUAGGGCAACGAGAAAAGAUGCCCUGAAAAGUCAUGAGAGAAGUCGGCAUUCUGACAAGACGCCAUGAUAUAAUUACAUUUUCACAUUACAUUACAUUCUCAAAUUUAGUCGAAUUCUGGUGAGAUAUUUUCACUUGUUACAAAUGGCGUCAAUUAAAAAAGGGACAGAACUCUGAAAAAAUAAUAAUAAAAAAAAGAUGUCACAUGAAGAAAGAAGGUAUUAUUCAUUUAGGACACAGCAUUACAGUUCAUAACAGUUUUUAAUGUUUUAUAAAGUCAUAUUUUAAAACCUUGUUCUAACAAAUGGUGAUAAAUAAAAAAGGGAUGUAACUCUUACCCUAAUGAUACUUUUUAGGUUAUGAAAUGUUUGUAAAAAAAGAAAAUGAGGCAAAGUUAUUAAUAAGAAGACAGUAUUAUAAUAGAUUGCAAAGUUCUAUUAUUAUUUUCAAUUUUUGCUUUGAAUAGUUUGAAAAAUUUAAUCAAAUGUGAUUUGAAAUAUUUUUGAAUUUGAAAGAUAAUUUGAAUGUUUAUAGUGUUUGAGGAAAUGACUGCACAGGACUAAAGAAGAUUUUAAAUUAAUUGUUUUAUUAUCAGUACUUGGAAAUAGCAACAUGUAUUGUUUAUUAUAAUUUGUUUCAUGUUUGUUUUUAUACAUUACUCAGAAUUAUUUUUCUGAAAAUUAAAUUAGAAUAUUUAUUAAAUAGUAU